AUACGGAGGGUGCAAGCGUUAUUCGGAAUCACUGGGCGUGAAGGACGCGUAGGCGGGUUGGCAAGUCAGAUGUGAAAUCCUACAGCUUAACUGUAGAACUGCAUUUGAAACUGCUAACCUAGAGUAUGGGAGGGGGAGAUGGAAUUAGUGGUGUAGGGGUAAAAUCCGUAGAUAUCACUAGGAAUACCGAAAGCGAAGGCGAUCUCCUGGAACAUAACUGACGCUAAGGCGUGAAAGCGUGGGGAGCAAACAGGAUUAGAAACCCUUGUAGUCC
rnacentral:rRNA from 1 species